rnacentral:rRNA from 1 species
UCAGCACGCUUGGUAACCGUGCGCAGAGUGUAUUAGCAUAAGGGCGCUUGACUGUGAGACCGACGGGUCGAGCAGGUACGAAAGUAGGAUAAAAGUGAUCCGGUGGUUCUGCAUGGAAGGGCCAUCGCUCAAAGGAUAAAAGGUACUCCGGGGAUAACAGGCUGAUCUCCCCCAAGAGCUCAUAUCGACGGGGAGGUUUGGCACCUCGAUGUCGGCUCGUCACAUCCUGGGGCUGGAGAAGGUCCCAAGGGUUGAGCUGUUCGCUCAUUAAAGUGGCACGCGAGCUGGGUUCAGAACGUCGCAAGACAGUUCGGUCCCUAUCUGUUAUGGGCGUUUGAGAAUUGAGAAGAUCUGUCUCUAGUACGAGAGGACCGGGAUGGACUGACCUCUAGUGUACCGGUUAUGUCGCCAGAUGUACCGCCGGGUAGCUACGUUGGGAAUGGAUAAGCGCUGAAAG